ensembl:lncRNA
GUUUAAAUAAUUUAUUGAUAGUUGCUUUUUCAAAAAGACAAUAGUUACAAUUACAGAUUAAAGAAAUUGACUGUACAUAAGAGGAUUGUGUAUUACUUGAGUGCAUCGUUUGGGGUUUUGAAUGAAAAACAGGCAUCGGUUGGAGGAAAAAGACAGACUAACUGUUUAGUCUCCCCCCCACUUCCUUUUCCACAGGCUUGAGAAAAAUUGUUUUCGCAGCAAACUAUUGCUUUUGUCCUGCAUCUGCACCCCAUGAGGUUAAGCAUCAUCUGUAUGGCGACAUCAUUAAGAACAGAUGGGUCGUAACGAGCUGUAUGGUGUUAUAAAGAACAGAUGGGUCGUAACUAGCUGGGUCGCUGUAUGGCGACAUUAAGAACAGAUGGGUCGUAACUAGCUGUAUGGUGUUAUAAAGAACAGAUGGGUCGUAACUAGCUGUAUGGUGACAAUAAGAAGAGGUGGGUCGUAACUAGCUGUACGGUGACAAUAAGAACAGGUGGGUCGUAACUAGCUGUAUGGCGACAUCAUUAAGAACAGGUGGGUCGUAACUAGCUGUAUGGCGACAUCAUUCUGAACAGGUGGGUCGUAACUAGCUGUAUGGCGACAUCAUUCUGAACAGAUGGGUCGUAACUAGCUGUAUGGUAACAUUAAGAACAGAUGGGUCGUAACUAGCUGUAUGGUGACAUUAAGAACAGGUGGGUCGUAACUAGCUGUAUGGCGACAUUAGGAACAGGUGGGUCGUAACUAGCUGUAUGGUGACAUUAAGAACAGAUGGGUCGUAACUAGCUGUAUGGUGACAUCAUUCUGAACAGAUGGGUCGUAACUAGCUGUAUGGCGACACCAUUAAGAACAGAUGGGUCGUAACUAGCAGUUACUGCAUAGCUUGGUAGCGGUGGUCUCUCCCAGAACAGAGCUGAGACAGUCACCAUCACUCCAUUACAACAUAAUAAGGCAUUACAAAACCCACAUCCGGAAAAUAACCAAUUAUCAGAGGCGACUUCCCAAACGGCACCCUAUUCUCAUAGUGCAAUACGUUUGACCAGAGGCCAUAGGUCUAAAGUAGUGCACUAUAUAGGGAAUAGGGCUCUGGUCUAAAGUAGUGCACUAUAAAGGGAAUAGGGGGCCAUUUGGGAUCCAGCCAGAGUACAUUCAAAUACAGAAGAUCAUCAGGAAAUGCACUUCAGAUGUUUGUUUUGGCAAAGCUAAGGCAUCUUGGGACAUCUGAACCAUUAGUGUUAUAUAGGUAGUGCCCCAAAUGGCAUCCUAUCCCCCCUCCAGUACCCCCAAACCCUGGUCCUCCAGUACCCCCAACCCCGGUCCUCCAGUACCCCCAACCCCGGACCUCCAGUACCCCCAACCCCGGACCAGGGUUGGUGUACUGUUGAGGGUACUGGAGGACAUACUGCCCUAUGUAGUGCACUACUUUUGACCAGGGCUCAUAGGGAAUAGGGUGUAAUUUGGGCUUCAGAUAUGUUUCUAUAAUACACAGGUCAUAUUAUAAUAAGGAUAUUGUGAUUUAAUUCAUUAAUGAUGAUGUAUAGUUGAUGCACAGAGCCAAGUUCCUGACACGUAACGCUGUAGUGUAUCCUACAAAGCGUCAGGUCUUCAUGAAGACCUAUUCCAUACCAGAAUUUCAAAUUCUUCUGUUAAGACAAUUACAUACGUUUUAGAUGAUUGUGUCAACAAAAGGAAGUAUUGAUGACAAUUACAAUAUAUAUAUAUAUCACAUUAAAAUUGUUAAAAAGUUCAAUAAUAUCCUUUCUGUUUAAUAUGGGGCGAGAUACAAUUACAAAAACAUUCGUGAAGCAGAAUUCAUAUGGAAACGAGUUCCUAAGGCAACACUGCUGGUCCUGCUCUCCUUAAAUGGAAUUGUUUUAAUAUAAUUUUACAAAGCAUAAAAAAUAAAUAACAAGCAAGUGCUGCCAUUGAUGAAAAGGCACAAUCUCAACCUGUCAUCUUAUUAUAGUCAUUUAUGGACAUUCAAACAAGCAGAUCUGUCAGCCUGUAAUCUUCCUGCCUUUAGAAAACAGAGCCAGAGGAGGACUGUAGAAACCUACCGCUGCCAGUCCCCUUCCUACAAACCUCAGGGGACAAGGACAAAACCUCGGAGGAGGACUGUAGAAACCUACUGCUGUCCGUCCCUCCCUACAAACCUCAGGAGGAGGAGAUCUCUGUGCUGUAGUAACCUCAGGAGGAGGAGAUCUCUGUGCUGUAGUAACC